UAACAUUCAAUUUGUUAUGGAAAAAUAUAUAAACUUUAAUUUGUGUUACAAUAAAGUGAAUCUACUAGAUUUUCCGUUAGACAAUAAACAGAAAAUCUAAUGUGGAUACUUUUAAACUAUUAUAAUUGCCACAAAAGCUUGCCUCAUUAGCUCCAGUCAACUGGAUCACAUCAAAUAACAAGAAAUCUUCAUAGUGGUCUGUGUGUACAACUCCGCUCAUCUUGCCAUGCUAAUGCUCCUUAACUGUCACCCUGAGCCAAUGACCGUAGACCGUCUUCUGCUCCCUCCCUCCAUUCAUUCUUAACCUCCCUACUUUUGAGCUCGCUGGUCAACUUCUUGAUUCUCUUAAGUAUUGUCGUAGCCUCCAAACCUUUGAUCUUUCUAACAAUGUUCUUUUCCGUUCGAUUCCACCUCAAAUUUGUACUUGGUUGCCUUAUAUUGUUACUCUAGAUCUCUCCGGUAAUAGCUUCUCCAGUUCCAUUUCGCCAGAAAUCAUUAGCUGCAAGUUCUUAAAUAAUCUCAUUCUGAAUGAUAAUGAGUUGUCCGGUUCGAUAUUGUACGGUCUCGGUGGUCUUUCUCAGUUGAAAUGAUUCUCGGUGGCAGACAACGAUCUGAUUUUAGGUUGCUGGUGUUAUUAGUGCUACUGGGUCACUAAUUUUAGGGUUUGUGAUUUGGUAGUGGGUAUAUGUUAGACCAAGUGUGAAAAAGAAAGGUUAUGGUGAAGGUAGUGGCAAGGAUGAUUCUAGUUGGGUUGAGUGUUAAAGUCACAUAAACUUAUUCAAGUCUCAUUAUUUCAAAAACUCAUUGUUAAGAUCAAAGUUGGCUGAUCUAUUACUAGCCAUUAACAAUUUUGAUUUGGAAAAUAUAGUGAUUUUGAAAUACCUCGAAUUUUUUAUUUUCAAAACUUUCAAAUUUUUUUUUAUUAAAUCAAAAGUUAGAAUUUCGACUGUAUGGGCUGCAUGUACUGUAUAAUCUUAAUUCGUGAGUUGGGCCAAGCCCAAAAUGUAGUAUCGUAACCCCUAACCGAGAAUUUUCUAAACUCUUCAAGAAUUAUUUUGGGCAUUGAAUAUUAAAUCAGUUAAAAUAAAUUAAUUGGACCUGUAAACCCGCUUGAAAUUUUUGAAACCAUAUGAAAAGUCCGUAAACCAAGCAAAUCGAGCUAAAUCGUUGAAUCAGACCAAACUGGUUCGAAUCGAACCAGAAUGGUCUAGAAAUUCCUAGGUCUUCUUUCCCUCUUCCUUUUUCUCUUCUUCUUAUUCCUUCUUUUCGGGCCGGCACCGCUCACCGCUCGCCUCCCUCCUUCUCUUUCAUGGUUACCGGUCGCCUGCGACAGGCCCGACAACUGCCCCGCUACCCUUCAUUGUCGCACCUUAGCUCCCCUCUCCCUCUGUUUUCGUUCGACUGGACGCAGCAACAGCGCCACGGCUCAGGCGCCAUCGAUCCCAGCCACCGAUCACGCUCGACGUCAUGCCUCUCUCCGUUCGCGACUCCGGUGGCUGCUACAGCACAGGCGAGAUGCAGUUCUUCUCCCUUGGAUCGACGGCGGUGAUUGCACUGGCUGUCGAGCCCGAUUCCAGCCAGUUGGCUCGCCAAUCUCAUAAACAGACACUGGAUUUGAGCUCCUUGUAACGUUUCGAGCAUUUUGGUAUAAUGUUGCUUAGUUCUGGCCAUGGUCUAUUUUCCGGCCACCGUGCACGGCGGCGGCUGUGGCGGCCCGGCGACACUCCGGCGAGGCAUCAAAGAGACAGAAUCAUUUUCUCCUCGCGUGGACCCUGAAAUCGUUACCUGAAUUUCGAUCGGUUAAUAUCAAUGUAUAUGUAGUGGGAGAAAGAAAACGAAGAAGAUGGUCUCCCUCAUUGAUAGACAAAAAAAAUAAAAGAAAGAAAAUGAUUGUUCAUGAGAGAGAAAUUAAAAAGGCUGAUUUGACAAGGCCGACAAAGCUAAGCUGGGAGCUUUUUACAUUUAAAAAUUGAUUAAAACCAUCUAUACCAUCUUUCCAUCUAUUAUCUAAUGAAAUAUCUAAAAGAUUCACUUUAUUGUAACACAAAUUAAAAUUUUAUAAAUUAUUUGAAUUGUUUGUGUUUUGACAUAACAA